GACGAAGGAUGCAAGCGUUAUCCGGAUUCAUUGGGUUUAAAGGGUGCGUAGGCGGACCUGUAAGUCAGUGGUGAAAUCUCUCAGCUUAACUGAGAAACUGCCAUUGAUACUGCAGGUCUAGAGUAUAGAUGACGUUGGCGGAAUAUGACAUGUAGUGGUGAAAUACUUAGAUAUGUCAUAGAACACCGAUUGCGAAGGCAGCUAACGAAACUAUAACUGACGCUGAGGCACGAAAGUGCGGGGAUCAAACAGG
rnacentral:rRNA from 2 species